AGUAAUCAGGGGCUGAGCUCACGAGCUCCAGACAGAACGUGGACUGUGUUCCACAGGGCAACAGGGCUUUGGGGGAGUGCAGAGAAGGGCAUGCACAGUUCAACAUGCAGACCCCACCUCGGCCAGAGGAAGGCGAAGGGCAGCAGCAUUCAUCCCAGGGCUGGUUAUUCAGUCUGAAGGUAUGCAAGCACACAUGUCGAACCCCACCACCCUGUGUAAGGAUGGAAACAGCAGAGUCCCUGGCUCUCAUUGAGCAGCCAACCAAGCCAAUUGCCGAGAAGAACAUGUGGUCAAUGAAGCUCUUCCUGGAAGUAGACAAGGCAUUUCCCAGAAUCCUACUUCCAAGAAGAAGCUCUGGGAUCCUGCGUCAUCCCAUGCUGUGCCUUCCUCUUUGUGACCAAGUGCUGAAGCUUUGGCUGAGGUAUAGGGACAGGCAUAGCUGUGAGGCCUGGGUGGAGGCCUGGGGAAGUCUAUAAAUGGAGAUUACAGCAUUCAAGCCGCUUCAAUCCUUGUGUUCUGCAGAUCUUGGGCCCUUGGAGGGGGUUUAUGACUAACCGUGAUUGCCUGCUCCCUCAGAUCUCACACAGGUCGUUUUUCUUACCAGUCCCAUCUGGGGUGACUAUGCCAGUAUCUUUGCUGACAGAGUUGAAUUUGGUCUGUGUUUCGAUUGCACAAGAACAAAGCCUGCACUGUAGGAACAACUGUCUCGAGGGCACAUCCAGAGCAGGCAGAGUUUCCCUCUCUCUCUCUUGUGUUCCUCUCUUUAUUGCUUCCGUUCCUGUACAUAUUUCAGUGAUGUCAGGAUUUGGAAUGGCUCUACCUUGAGGGGAGCCAAGAAAUCCUGAGUGUGUGUGUGUAUGUGUGUGUGUUCAUGUGCAUGAGAGUAUAUACUGGCAAGACCAAAGCAGUUUGAUGUAUAUCAGCCUGGCUGUUUAUUGAUCCCAUGGAGGUAAAGAAACAGAUUGGAAUCUCCUGGCUGUAAGAAAUAUAACCCUUGACCAGCUGCAGCCAUUUUUCUGUCUCCUCUGGCCAAAACAAAACAAAAACAUUCAUUUAAAACUUCUCACCUGGGAAGCACUUGUUAAGAGUAUUUCAUGCAAAUGUGUAAGUUUCUUGGGCUGGACUUGCAAUUCAGAUCAGGAAAAAAAAAAUGGUCUUGCAUGCUUAUGUCUGAGCAUGCAUUUUGCAGGAAGCCAUUUUGUGAACAAGCAGACGGAUUACUUCCGUGUUCUGGGAUGGUCGUGCCUCAUGUGAGGUUUGGGGGUGGGUUUUGCUUCACUUUCUUCAUAAGGUUUUGAAGCUCGGUGGCUAGGAAGUUGAUGGGGUACUGUCCCUUGCUAGGGAAGAGGUCCUG